CCUGGACGCAGAGGUAGAAAAGUCCAGAAGGAAGGAAAGAUCAGCUACGCUGACUUUGUCUGGUUUCUGAUCUCUGAGGAAGACAAAAAGACCCCAACAAGGUAGGAGCUCGGGUUCCCUCCGAGGCGCAUGGGGGCCCCCCACCCCGCCCUUCCCUGCCAUCUUCUCCUGUAGGACCCAGGUCAGCCUGUGCAGGGUGGGCGUGUCCCGUCCUGGUCAGCCUGUGCCGGGUGGGCGUGUCCCGUCCUGGUCAGCCUGUGCCGGGUGGGCGUGUCCCGUCCUGGUCAGCCUGUGCCGGGUGGGCGUGUCCCGUCCUGGUCAGGCUGGGCCUGGGUGGGCGUGUCCCUGGCAGCCCAGCUGACGGGCCCCAACACUAGCAUCGAGUACUGGUUCCGGUGCAUGGACCUGGACGGGGACGGGGCGCUGUCCAUGUUCGAGCUGGAGUACUUCUACGAGGAGCAGUGCCGCAGGCUGGACAGCAUGGCCAUCGAGGCCCUGCCCUUCGAGGACUGCCUGUGCCAGAUGCUAGACCUGGUCAAGCCGCAGAGCGAAGGUGAGGCGUGUGGGGCGACCCGGGGAGGGACAGCAGGAGGGCCUGCAAGGAGACCCCCAGGUGGGCUGCCCAUUGCCAGGUGCCAGCACCGGGCCCCAUCUGCAGCACGGGUGGACACCCGAGGAGGCCAUGGGAAGGCCCAUCCCUGUGGACUUGGGACCAGGUCCUCACUGAGGGUGUCCCAGGAGGCAGCACGUGCCAUCACUGGGGAUGGGCGCUCAGUGCAGGGUUCAGCCCUGCCUGGUGUGGACACCACCAGGUCCACUGUCCCUCCCAGCUGUCCUGCCCAGCUGUCCCAGCCCUGUCAUCUCCCCGUCCUCUGAGGUCACAGGGCAGGAGGCGUGGCCUCAAACCCAGGCCUGGAGAGGAGGGGCUCCCUGCACCUUAGAGACAGGAGGACCCCCUGCUCCCUAGAGAGAGAGGGGGCUCCCUGCACCCUAUAUAGAGAGGAGGGGGCUCCCCGCACCUUAGAGAGGAGGGGCUCCCCACACCCCAGAGACAGGAGGACCCCCUGCUCCCUAGAGAGGAGGGGUCCCUGCACCCUAGAGAGAGGAGGGCUCCCCGCACCACCACCUGGUUUUUCCCGUACCCCUUGGAGGUGACCAGGUCUCUGAGGACGGCGCAGGCGCCUGCUGUCCCUUCCUCUGAAGUGCCUCCGCCCCCCUGGCCAGGCCCCCCGGGGUCCUGGACAGCUCAGAUGGUCUUGGGCUGGGGUGUCUGGGUGGCUGCCUGCCCCUGGUCCCAAGGUUCGGUCCCCUCGGGCGCUCAAGGUAGCAGGGCUGCUGGCCCAGGGCCUCAGGGGCUCAGCAGGCCGGGUGCCCGCGCCAGUCCUCCGGCUGCGCCUGGGGCACAAGUGCCCCCCUGCGCCCUCAGCCCCCCCCCCCCCCCCCCCCCCCCCCCCCCCGCCACGGCCCGCCUGUGUCCAAAGGCCCCUCCCGCCCUCGUCCCUCUGUCCGGCAGGCAAGAUCACCCUGCGCGACCUCAAGCACUGUAAGCUGGCCAGCGUCUUCUUCGACACCUUCUUCAACAUCGAGAAGUACCUGGGCCACGAGCAGAAAGAGCAGGCGUCCCUGCUGCGGGUGAGUGCCCCCCCCCCCGCCGGCUGCCGCUGACCGCGGGGCCUCCCGACCCCAACGGCUCCCUCUCUCCGGCAGGAGAGCGAGAGCGAGGGCCCCGAGCUGUCCGACUGGGAGAAGUACGCCGCGGAGGAGUACGACAUCCUGGUGGCCGAGGAGGCCGCGGGGGAGCCCUGGGACGACGGGUGAGCGCCGCCGCCAGCGCGGGCUCAGUGGGAGGGGACAGCGCCCGCCAUCCUGUGUGGUCGGACAUGUGGGGCGGACCUCUGCGCCGGACCCUGACGCCCGCGUGCCCCUGGGGAGCCCUGAUGUCUGGUGCCCUGGUCACCUCUGACAUGAGCCAGCAGUCACUCCUGUCAUCAGGCCGCACCCGGGAGCGGGAACACCCACCUGCGGCCGGGCCUUGGUGAAUCCCGGCUGUGCGUGUUGGCAGGGGACUGGACGGGGAGGCCGAGUCCAGUGUAGCCCGCGGGUCCUCUCCCUGGGCUGCGGCGGGCAGGUUGACAGGUCAGAGGGCACCGGCUGUUUCCACCGGGACCCAGUUCACCGUCUGCUCGCCCCCGGGUCUGGGUGACUGGCCUCCUGGCGGUCCUGGGGCCCAGCUGGCCUUGGCAUGGGAGCUCCUGAGGCCCAAGGCUCUGGCACACCCCGUUGGGGGCACUGGGGCGCUCUGGGCAGGGCAAGCCGAUGCCACUCUGCCAGCUGCAUGGGCUGCCCCCGGUGCCGACUGCAGCCUGAGGCUCCACCUGAGGUCCCCUGGCGCAAGGGUCCCUGGGCCUGGCUCAGCCCCUCAGUGUGUGGGAGACUCCAAGGCCCGGCCCUCCUGGCUGUCCAGGGCCAUCUGUGGAGUCCAAGUCCCUGGGGCCACCUGGCUGGGCUCCAGGGGCACCAAGUGGCACCUGGAUGAGACACCCGCACUGCAGGGAGCUGCCCCCAGGAGUCUGUCUGUCCCCACGUGUGUCUUUCCUUGUACCUCCCUGGUCACUCCUGACAUUGGCAGGACGCAGUGACCCCACGCGCUCAUGGUGGCUGGGUCUUUAGUUCAGGGAUCUUCUCAGCAACCCCUGGGGGCCACCUCCCUGGUGUCCCCUGGCUCCCGCUGCAGAGACCCCCUCCAUGCCUGGGGUGGACGCUGGGGUCCUGUCUCUGGGUGGUGAUCGCUGGGCAUCCAUGAGCCAGCGAAUCCGUCAUCCUGGCCGGUCAAAUGCCGGUGUCCAGCCUGCGUCCUCCACCCUCAGGAGCGCUCCUGAGACCGGCCCUGUAAACCGCAGGCCCAGUCCUGUCCUGUGGGCCCUCUGCUUCCCGGGCUGUGUGUCCCCAUUCCCCCAGGUCACUGACCCCUCGGGUCCCUGCUCCCAAUACUUCCCUGUCCCUUCCCUUUGUGGAGCAGCUGUGGCCAGUGACACGUGUGUCUCCUGCCACCCUCCCCUCCUGACGCAGCCCGGUACCCACGAGCAGGUGGCUGUGCUCGGCUGCUGCCUCUUGGCUGUGGAAGUGUGGGUCAGCAGCUUGCAGCCACCUGUGCUGACCCGGGUCACCCCCCUUUCUGGAAACCGUCUUGCUACCUCGGGGUCGUCUCUUCAGCUCGCAGGGACUGACCAGCUGACAAGCUGCCUUACGCUUUGGGGGAGACCCGAGGCCACCAGUUCCCACCCUGGGGGAGCUCCUGUGCCGAGGACCCGGGCGGGCCGCGGGCUGGACGUCCCCGGGCUCCCUGGCCCCGUGCGCGCACCCCUUGGGAGCCUGGUGCUGACCCGGAACCCGCGGUCUCCAGCGCGGCGCGAACCUGGCCCUGGCGAGGGCGGCCCUGAGGGGGAGAGGGCACCCGGCCCGCGGUCCUCACCGGCCGCUCCUUGCAGGUACGAGGGGGAGCUCAGCCCUGUGGACCAGAAGCUGAGCGCGCUGCGGUCCCCGCUGGCCCAGAGGCCCUUCUUCGAGGUGCCCACCCCGCUGGGCGACGUUGACCUGUACGAGUACGCGUGUGGCGACGACGACCUGCAGCCCUUGUGAGGCCCUCGCGGCCGUCCCCGGCGGCCGGGUUGGCUAACUGUCCUGUCGUGGACACCGAGUGCGUUUGUACGGAGUGAUGAUGUUUAUUUAUUCACCGCGGAGGUCGUCAAGGGUUGUUGACGGCGCACGCACGUCCCCACCGCCCGAGGGACUGACACUCGUCCAAGAACUCCAGGCCGCCGGCGCGGACGCUUGCCAGGGUCAGCCGCGGGGCGCCCGGGUGCGCACCCUGGACGGCGCCCCUUCCCCGCGCGCCCUGACGCCGCCUGCGCGCUGAGCGCCCCUCCCCCAGCGUGUGGGUCGCGAACAUUCCGCGCGCACCGCGGGUGCGGUCACGCGCGCACACGGGCGUGCAAAGACGACUUCAUCUGCUGUGCAGCGCAGCUUACCAUGUGGUACGCGGCCACGUUUGUAUUUUUGAAUAAAGAGUUUAAGGAUUUUCAGCCCCUGCUGGGUGUGUUCACCGCCCAGGGUCAGCGCCUGGGUCGGGGUCCUUCACAGGGCUGCAAAGCUCAGUGCUGCUGCUGCUGCUGGGGACAGCGCUGCCGCGGGAGCCACCGGUACCCAGGUUGUGUGGCCACACCCUCCAUGCCCAGCUGGCCUGCCGCCCGAGGAGUCCACUCCAAGACCGCGGCCACAGCCUCUGCACCCGGGCAGCUGUGGAGGCCACUGGUGUUCUCACGGGUGGAGUGGGCGGUUCAGUCAGAAGACCCCCCAGACCCUUGGGGACAUGCCCAGAGAAGGAUGGCAGAGGAAUCCUGGAGGAGCAGUGCCCCAGCACCAGGCCAAGGUGUUCAAGGGAGGAGGGUCUGGCCGUCCACACGCGAGCCGGCAGGAGGGCAGUGACCAGCUGCAGGUGCCUCCUGCAGGGCCUCCACACCAUGCAGUGCCCCCCACCCCAUGCUCCUGAGGUCCCUGUGUCCAGCUGGGAGCCAAACUCCAGGGGUCUUGACCUGGGAGGCCCACCACCCCUGGCCUAAGAGGGAGCCUUCCCACCCGUGGGGCUCGAGUCAGGGACGCCAAGCAGAGCCAGCAACCGGGGCCUAGG
rnacentral:lncRNA from 1 species